rnacentral:lncRNA from 1 species
CUGGAAUGAAGUCAGGAAGAACUGGGUUUAAAUCCUGCCUCUGAUACAAUUAAAAGAUGUGAACUUGGACAAGUCACUUAAAUGCUCUUGAACCUUACUUUCCUCAUGGAUAAAAUGGAAACUGAAGGGCCUAUUUCAUGUUGUGAAGCUCAAGCGUGAAGACUGUAAGAUACUUUGCAAAAUUGAAGAAUUAGAUGGAGACUGCUAUUAAAGUCUUUGAAGCUUACUACUGUGGGGAGAGGAUACCAGAAGAAGAGUCAUGGGAAGAGAAAGACAAGCAAUGCAAAGCAACAGGAUUCUGAUGACCAACAACCAUGUGCCCUGACCCAAGUGAGGCACUGAGGAUACAACGAAAGAAGAAAAGAGUCCCUGGCCUCAAGACAUUCGUACAUUCUAAUUGGGG